AGAAGGAGGAGGAGGAGGAGAAGAAGAAGAAGAAGAAGAAGAAGAAGAAGAAGAAGAAGAAGAAGAAGUAGUAGUUUUUAUAUUAAAAGUUUUCUUUAAUUACAUGAGUAAACUCACACUGGUGAAAAGCUGUAUGAGUACAAGUGAUGCUUAAACUUUUUGUGGUCCCAAAUCAUGGGAAAGGCAUGGCAUUGAUUAGAUUGUAGAGGAACCUGGUGCAUGUUUGCAAUGUAGAAAGUCUUCACUUCUCUGCUUCCUCCAAAUAUGUAUAAGAAGUCAACUAGAGGGUGCUGGAGAGAUGCCUCAGUGGUUAAGAGCACUGACUGUUCUUAGAGAGGAUCCAGGUUUGAUUCCCAACACCCACAUGGAAAGCCACAACUGUCCCAACUCCAGUUCUAAGAGACCCAGUGUCCUCUUCUGAGCUCAGUGGGGCCUUCAUGUGCAUGGCACACAGACAUAUAUGCAGGCAAAUUAACCACACACACAAUAAAAAAUAAGUCAUAGCAGAGAGAACCCCUUUGUGUGUAGGUAAUAUUGAAAAGCCUCUCAUUAGCACAGUUAAUUUCACAGACAUGAAAGAACCUACCCUAGAGUAACCUUAAAUAUGGGGUCUACUUAAAAAAUCUUUCUAGACUAUUUAUUUCAUGUGUGUAAGUGUUUUGCCUGCAUGUGUGAAUGUGUGUCACAUAUGUGCACUGCCUGCCCCACCCUGAAGAGUGCCUGGAGUUACAGAUGGCUGUGAGCAGCCUUGUAGGUGCUGGGAUCUGAACAAACGCCCUUUGUAAACACAGGGAGUGCUCUUAAAAACUGAGCCAUCUCUCCAGCCCAGUAGUUCAUUCUGGACUCCUAUUUCUAAAUUUUGUUUUACAAAAUAAGCUUAAGCCAACUAUGUGAGAUAGGAUGACAGCUUAUACCCUUGGGAUGGAGACUAGUAAUCAGCACAUGUGAAGGAAACAAGACAAAACAAAAAACAGCGGUAAAAAGAAAAGUAAACUAUUGUGAAAUGAUUCUGUAAGGUUUCUUAAAGCAGAAAUCUAGAGUUUAAUGGGUGAUCUCUUCUCGAAUCAAAUCUGGCACGUUUCUGUUUGCAUUGUGAAUUGUGUUAGAUUCAUUGUUGAACUGACAUUUAAUUGUAACAUGCCAAUAUUCAUAAAUGCCUUUUUUCAAGCAAUUGUGGUUAAUUAAAAAUUACUUUUUG
rnacentral:lncRNA from 1 species